rnacentral:rRNA from 1 species
UGGGGAAUAUUGCACAAUGGGCGAAAGCCUGAUGCAGCGACGCCGCGUGAGGGAUGGAGGCCUUCGGGUUGUAAACCUCUUUCGCUCAUGGUCAAGCCGCGACGUGGGUUGUGGUGAGGGUAGUGGGUAAAGAAGCGCCGGCUAACUACGUGCCAGCAGCCGCGGUAAUACGUAGGGCGCGAGCGUUGUCCGGAAUUAUUGGGCGUAAAGGGCUUGUAGGCGGUUGGUCGCGUCUGCCGUGAAAUUCUCUGGCUUAACUGGGGGCGUGCGGUGGGUACGGGCUGACUUGAGUGCGGUAGGGGAGACUGGAACUCCUGGUGUAGCGGUGGAAUGCGCAGAUAUCAGGAAGAACACCGGUGGCGAAGGCGGGUCUCUGGGCCGUUACUGACGCUGAGGAGCGAAAGCGUGGGGAGCGAACAGGAUUAGAUACCCUGGUAGUCCACGCUGUAAACGUUGGGCACUAGGUGUGGGGGCCACCCGUGGUUUCUGCGCCGUAGCUAACGCUUUAAGUGCCCCGCCUGGGGAGUACGGCCGCAAGGCUAAAACUCAAAGGAAUUGACGGGGGCCCGCACAAGCGGCGGAGCAUGCGGAUUAAUUCGAUGCAACGCGAAGAACCUUACCAAGGCUUGACAUGCACGGCGGCACUGCAGAGAUGUGGUGGCAUUUGGUUGGUCGUGUGCAGGUGGUGCAUGGUUGUCGUCAGCUCGUGUCGUGAGAUGUUGGGUUAAGUCCCGCAACGAGCGCAACCCUUGCCCUAUGUUGCCAGCACGUGAUGGUGGGGACUCGUGGGGGACUGCCGGGGUUAACUCGGAGGAAGGUGGGGAUGACGUCAAAUCAUCAUGCCCCUUAUGUCUUGGGCUUCACGCAUGCUACAAUGGUUGGUACAGAGGGUUGCGAUACUGUGAGGUGGAGCGAAUCCCUUAAAGCCAGUCUCAGUUCGGAUUGGGGUCUGCAACUCGACCCCAUGAAGGUGGAGUCGCUAGUAAUCGCAGAUCAGCAACGCUGCGGUGAAUACGUUCUC